AUGAACGCUGGCGGCGUGCCUAAUACCUGCAAGUCGAGCGAACAGACGAGGAGCUUGCUCCUCUGACGUUAGCGGCGGACGGGUGAGUAACACGUGGAUAACCUACCUAUAAGACUGGGAUAACUUCGGGAAACCGGAGCUAAUACCGGAUAAUAUAUUGAACCGCAUGGUUCAAUAGUGAAAGACGGUUUUGCUGUCACUUAUAGAUGGAUCCGCGCCGCAUUAGCUAGUUGGUAAGGUAACGGCUUACCAAGGCAACGAUGCGUAGCCGACCUGAGAGGGGGAAGCGCCACCACGGAAUGGAGACCCGCGCCACACCCGUGGGGGAGGACGCAGUAGGAAAUUUUCCGAAAGGGGGGAAACCCUGACGGGCAACCGCCGCGGGAGUAAAGAGGGUUUUGGGAUCCAAAACCUCUUUUUUGAGGAAAAAAAAAAUGGUAAAUAAACUUUCCACCUUUGGACGGACCCAAAUAAAAAAGCCACGGCAAACUACG
rnacentral:rRNA from 1 species